rnacentral:rRNA from 1 species
UACGUAGGGUGCGAGCGUUAAUCGGAAUUACUGGGCGUAAAGCGUGCGCAGGCGGUUGUGCAAGACAGAGGUGAAAUCCCCGGGCUUAACCUGGGAACUGCCUUUGUGACUGCAUGGCUAGAGUGUGUCAGAGGGGGGUAGAAUUCCACGUGUAGCAGUGAAAUGCGUAGAUAUGUGGAGGAAUACCGAUGGCGAAGGCAGCCCCCUGGGAUAACACUGACGCUCAUGCACGAAAGCGUGGGGAGCAAACAGGAUUAGAAACCCGUAGUCC